GAAUUGGACAUAGCAACGCCUGACAUUUUUAGUGGUUGUGUAUUAGUUGCUGUCUUGCGGUUCAUAUGUUUUAAACAAAAACGCAUCAGGCUAUUGCAUUGCUACGGUCUUCGAUGCUGAGCGUUAAUAAAUCUCUCGACAGGUGGCAAGGACUGUGAUCGUUACGUUUUGGUAAAUUUAAGACGACGAAUAUUUUUCAAAUUUACAUUGUGGUAUAAACUGUAACAUAUACAUUUUCAAAACGUUUGAUUUCUGAACCACUAUGGCUAGCAGAGAUAGAGAUCGUGGCAAUACUUAAGUGGGGCUGAAAAACUGAAACGAAAGAAGCAACGAGACAAUUAUAUUAAACAGCAAACAAACAACAUUUUGAAGUAUGUAAUUGAAGCUAUUAGUCAUCCAAGACAGCCAAACGAAGGUGAAAAGCAUACGGCAAUGAAUUAGAUCCCUUUGGAAGAGGAAAAUCAAGAAUUGAAUGCACCUGUGAAGGAAAAUGAAGAAGACAUCAAUGAAAUUGAAUUGGACGAAAAUGGAAACAAUAGAAAAACAAGCGAUUGUGAAACUCAUCAAGAAAAAGAUAUUGAAAAUGUAGAAAUUAAAGCACAAAAAGAAAACAGAAAUUUUGAUGCAAUAAGAAGUGCAAAAUAUUAUUCCAUUUUAUUGGAUGUUACACCAGAUGUGAGCCAUCAAGAGUAAUUAUCGGUUGUUCUUCGUUAUAUCAACAUAACAGGCGAGGAGAUUGAAAUCAAGGAACAUUUUAUCAAAUCUGAAAUAGUUCACGAUACAAAAGGAAAAGGACUAUCUGAAACUAUCAUGCUCAUUCUGGAUCAGUUGGGAAUAAAAAUAUCCGACAAGAAUAAGAUAACGGUGCCAAUAUGAGGGGAAUAUAUCAAGGAGUACAAGCAAAUAUAUUACGUGUAAAUCCUAAAGUGUUUUACAUACCAUACGGUAGUCACUACUUGAAUUUGUUAUUGGGAGAUAUAGCAAAAUCAUCAACUCAAGCACUACAUUUUUUUGGCGUUUUACAAAAGAUUUACACGAUAUUUACAGCAUACCAAUCGCGUUGGGAUGUUCUAAAAGAACACGUUAAAAAAAUUACACCUAAACCAUUAUCAGAAAUUAGGUGGGAAUGCCGUUUUGAUAGUGUAAAGGCUAUUCGAUUUCAUGUUUGCCUGAACAAUAAAUUGACAAUUGAGAUUUGGCCUAUAGUGCGCAAAAUAAAUGAAUUUGAAUUUAUUACCAGUCUUAUCAUUUGAUACGA